UGGGGCUCAAAUGGUAGAGUGCCAGCUUUGAGCAAAAAAAGCUCAGGUGCAGGCCCUGAGUUUAAACACCAGGACCAGCAACAACAAUAACAAAGUUUAAGUAAAUUUCAACAACUUUGACAAUAUAAGAGUACACACAAUUUAGGAAGGAGGAAAAAAAUUUAAACAUUCAUCUUUUUUGUUUUUCCUUCCUUUUUCUUUGAGACAGGGUGUUCCUGUGCACCCCUGGAAAGCCUAGUACUCAGGAGAUAGCAUGUCUCAGCUUUCCAUGCUGAGCACAAAUGUUAAUGCUUUGGAAAUCAAAAUAUAUUGAAACUGAGGAGCCAGGAUACAUUAAAAUAUAGUCAAUCAGACAUAAAUAAGGAUCAAAGUGUCUAACUUAAAAUCAUGAAUGUAGUAAAAUGAAGCAGAAGCAGUAGUCUCACUGUUCGAUCUUAAGAGUCAAGAAGAGUCAAGGAAAGGUGUUUGAGUCAGACACUGCAAAUCUUAGCAAGACAAAAUCUCUAGUUGAAGACAUCAAAUAGGCUAAUUAUUACAGAUAUGGAGAAAAAUAAACUCAUGAAACAAACAUGUAAAAGUGGGGCUUUGGGGCCGUGGGGCUAAUGUGGGAAUGCUGCUUCUUGUUUUUAAGUCUUUCUAAGCUAUUGUUUCCUGAUCUAUCAACAGACACUACAAAUUGAUUUU